rnacentral:sRNA from 12 species
AACCAUUGAUGAAGUGGCAUCAAUGAAGGACCAAGCGGGGUCGAUAAG